rnacentral:lncRNA from 1 species
UAGUGUUCGUUGGGUUUACUACUUCGGCUAAGAAUAACGAGCCGCAGUUCUUAGCCGGGAAGAACUCGGCUUUGUGGUCUCUAGACAGGGAGGUAUUGGCUACGUCGUUUAAUGUGAGUAGUGAGAUGAUUGGUGGAUUGUUGGAAGCUCAGAAGGAAGCGGUUAUGUUGGGAUGUCCUUUUUGUGCGGAAGGAGAGUUGGAGAGGCUUAAGGUGGAGAUAGAGAUUAAGAAGAGAGAUGAUGAGAGGAAGAAAGAAGAAGAAGAGGCCGAGAAGGAAGAGGAAGAGAAGAGGAAACGAGAAGAAGAAGAAGAGGCCAAGAAGGAAGAGGAAGAGAGGAAGAAACGAGAAGAAGAAGAAGAAGAAGAAGAGAAGAAGCAGUGGCCGCCUCAGCCUCAGCCUCAGCCUCAGCCUCAGCCUAAGCAACCACCACAACCUUUCCAACCACAACCACCACAAGAAGAACCACAAGAACCGCAACCAUCGAUAGAGACUAAGAAGAGAGAUGAUGAGAGGAAGAGAGAACAAGAAGAGGCGAGGAAGGAAGAGGAAGAGAGGUGGAAACGAGAAGAAGAAGAAGAGAAGAGGUGGUGGCCGCAUCAGCCACAGUGGCAAGCCGGAGAAGGUGGAGAGAACACCGAGAGAAAGCUUUAAGUCAAGAGUGUUUUGGUUG